GACGAACGCUGGCGGCGUGCUUAACACAUGCAAGUCGAACGGAAAGGCCCUGCUUUUGUGGGGUGCUCGAGUGGCGAACGGGUGAGUAACACGUGAGUAACCUGCCCUUGACUUUGGGAUAACUUCAGGAAACUGGGGCUAAUACCGUAUAGGAUCUCCUGCUGCAUGGUGGGGGUUGGAAAGUUUCGGCGGUUGGGGAUGGACUCGCGGCUUAUCAGCUUGUUGGUGGGGUAGUGGCUUACCAACGCUUUGACGGGUAGCCGGCCUGUGAGGGUGAACGGGCACAAUGGGACUAAGAUACGCACCAGACUCGUACGGGAGACAGCAGUGGGGAAUAUUGCACAAUGAGCGGAAGCCUGAUGAAGAAACGCCGCGUUCGGGAUGACGGCCUUCGGGGUGAGAACCGCUUUAGGCUGUGACGAAGCGGGAGUGACGGUAAUGGGUAAAGAAGCACCGGCUAACUACGUG
rnacentral:rRNA from 1 species